ACAGCAGUCGCCGCGGUAAUACGAAGGGGGCUAGCGUUGUUCGGAAUUACUGGGCGUAAAGCGCGUGUAGGCGGGUCCUUAAGUCAGGGGUGAAAUGCCAAGGCUCAACCUUGGAACUGCCUUUGAUACUGGGGAUCUUGAGUCCGGGAGAGGUGAGUGGAACUGCGAGUGUAGAGGUGAAAUUCGUAGAUAUUCGCAAGAACACCAGUGGCGAAGGCGGCUCACUGGCCCGGAACUGACGCUGAGACGCGAAAGCGUGGGGAGCAAACAGGAUUAGAUACCCCCGUAGUCCCUGUCUCUUAUAA
rnacentral:rRNA from 1 species